UAUGGGUAAAGUACUCUCACGGCCCUUCCCUCCUGGCCGUAGUGGCUCCUGUGGGGGCCCUGCCCGUAGUGCAGGCUGCUCUAGGACUCAGCCCUGACUCUUCUCUUGUGCUUCCGAUUACAGACUGCCAUUGCUGGGAGCCUCCUCUUAGUGUGAGUCUAGGGAUAGUUUCCAUCAUUUGUUGGCUUUCCUUAGCCAUCAUUCCUGUCUUUCCCACACUUUGAGUGAGCCAUCUGUUUUCUGCCAUGAUGAUGACUUGUUCAUAUAUUCGUAUCAGCAAGGCUUCUGAGAACAGAGCAGUCGGUUCUUGAUCUGGAUCCAACCGUUUCAGAAUGUUGUGGGUUUCUGGUAGUCAGGCAGUCUUGGGCCCUCACCAUUGGGCUUGCAAUUCCUGCUGUGCUCUGGCUCUGUGUACUGCCCACGGCAGCUGCCAAUGGCACGCUCGGCUUUUCUGCUCCAGUCUUUUCUUGCUUUGGACCAACAAGUGCAUUGGUUCCACAUAUGGAGCAAAGGGUCAUGUCCAAGAAGAGGAUGGUUUGAUGAGGAGAUGCUCUGAAGAACUUUGGGUACCAGGUCUGUGUAGUGAUGGCACUUCCAGAAUGGCUACCGGUAAUCUAUGGUUUCAAAGCUAUUAAUGUGAAGCUACUCUGCAUACAGAGGAUGCCCAGCAAACAACUGCUCUCCCUUGUCGAACCAGGCAGAAUCCAAGCACGUACAUAACCCUGUGUGCAAAUGCAUCCUCACCCUCCAGUCCUCAGCCCCGCAGACUGCAUGUUCUGGAAGAUGGCUGCUCUUAGUGGAUCACCUGUGUAC